UAUAUGUACAUUUCAUAUUAUCGUAAUCGUGUAUAGUUUUUCAACAAAUAGUAGCUAAUGUAUGUGCACAAAUAUAUAAAAAAUAUUAAUUAAUUCCAUGUCAAUUCGCGAUUGCUUAACUCUUAAAUUUAUUAUACACAUCUGCGAUAUAUUUGUUGAAAAACUGGAACAUUUGAUCGUGCAACCAGUGUUCAGCGAGGGUCAAAUUAACACCAUUUACAAAUGCUGAAGGUUUAAUUUGUGCAAAAACGUAAUAAAAGUAUUGCAAUCUAUUUAUUGGAAUAAAUUAAAUAUUAAAGGAAUAAUAGGGACUAUGAACGACAACGUCAGAUUUGCGGUGGCUAUCAAAACAUAAUGCUGGAUUUAUACCCCGAAACUAUACCCAGGCCGCCAGAAAACAAAUUUAUCUUCGCAGAUUUUACAUGCUCGAUUCCAUUUUAUAAUUUGGCUUGGUACAUAUACCUUUCAAAAAUAAUAUCUAUUGAAAACAAGAAAGGAAAGCUAACUUUAGGCGGAGCCGAAGUUUAAUAC
rnacentral:sRNA from 1 species